AUAGCAGAGUAGCCUUACCCUUGGUUAACAGGAACCUCAUAAGAACUGAUGUUUUCUGACAUAUCAAGGGGGUCUUGCACCUGGACUUGUGGAGCUGUGUUAAUCAGAAAGAUAACUCUCGUUGUUCUCUGUCUUGACGUCUCUGGGCUUUCAAAUUGUGGCUUAUUCUUGUUUGUUUUUGAGGCAGAGUCUCACUCUAUCCCCAAGGCUGGAGUGCAGUGGCACAAUCUCGGCUCACUGCAACCUCUGCCUUCCGGGUACAAGUGAUUCUUGUGCUUCAGCCUCCCGAGUAGCUGGGAUUACAGGUGCGUGCUACCACGCCCGGCUAAUUUUUUUGAUUUUUAGUAGAGACAGGGUUUUGCCAUGUUGGCCAGGCUGGUCUCGAACUCCUGGCCUCAAGUGAUCUGCCCUCCUUGGCCUCCCAAAGUGCUGGGAUUACAGGCAUGAGCCACUGUACCCAGACUUGUUAGUUUUCAAAAUUCACUUAACUUCCUUUAAGCAUAAAAGGGAAUUUAUUGGAAGAGUCCUGGAGUAUCACACAAAACCCAAGGCCAAGAACUACAGCCAGAGCUACGUGAAGGCCUGGAACCACGAAUUUUAAGGUUCAAAGUGAUCACUCAUCCUGAAAAUUACACUCUAAAAAAGUGCUCGUAGUUGAGUUUGGGAAAUGCAGAUCUCCAAGAAAUGUGGAGCAACUUAGAUGAGCAAUGAAAGGAUCAGAGGUUUAACCACGACUCCAUUUUCUUCAAGCCCCCUGAAGAUCCUGACGAUCUGGGAUGUGCUGGCUACACCCUGCUCCCCGUCAACCAGGAGCGUUACUGAAGUUACAGUAAAACAAUGUCAGGAGACUGACACAAAAGCAAAUCCUUUCAAAGACUGAUUUUGAAUCCUGAUUGAAGAGAUCAAAAGAGAAUAUAAGAAGUUAGAACUCAUUUCUGGGGCACCACCUCGAUGAAAAAGCUGACAAGUUCCUGCUACCCAGAGCCCUGCAGUUGCCACAGCUCAAUCUCUUCUCAACCUGGUGCCCAGCUUUUCCUGUUGAUUCUGCAACUAGGCCAGUCAUCUUUUCAAAAAUUCCUUUUCUGCUUGUUGACUAUCUCUGCUAUUUGCAACCAGAAGUAUUUAGAUAAAAUAUUUUUAAAAUGUAUAUGUCACCUUUUUCCUAAUUAUGAUGCAAACUUAUCGCAGAAAACUCGUAAUUCUAUACAUUAGAUACAACUAAUGUUAACAUCUUAGUGUUUCCUUCUACUCUUCUAUUCUAAAUAUAUAUACAUAUAUACUUCUUUAAAAAUAGUUGAGUAAUUAGAAGUAGAGUGACUAUAUUUAUAUCAGACAAAAGAAGCCUUAAGAUAAAAAAAAUUACUAGAGACAAAGAGGGACAUUUCAUAAUGAUAAAAGGUUCACAAUUCAAACAUGUAAUUUAAAAAUUUCAUUUGUAAUACCAUCAAAAGGGAUACAAUACUGAAGAAUAAAUUUAGGGCCAGGCGCAGUGGCUCACAGCUGUAAUCCCAGCACUCUGGGAGGCCUAGGCAGGUGGAUCACCUGAGGCCAGGAGUUAGAGACCAGCCCGGCCAACAUGGCAAAACCCCAUCUCUACUAAAAACAUAAAAAUUAGCCUCAUGUGAUGGCACACGCCUGUAAUCCUAGCUACUUCGGAGGCUAAGGCAU
ensembl:lncRNA novel transcript, antisense to MTPN